AACGAACGCUGGCGGCAUGCCUAACACAUGCAAGUCGAACGAGACCUUCGGGUCUAGUGGCGCACGGGUGCGUAACGCGUGGGAACCUGCCCUUAGGUUCGGAAUAACUCCCCGAAAGGGGUGCUCAUACCGGAUAAUGUCUUCGGACCAAAGAUUUAUCGCCUUUGGAUGGGCCCGCGUUGGAUUAGCUAGUUGGUAGGGUAAAAGCCUACCAAGGCGACGAUCCAUAGCUGGUCUGAUAGGAUGAUCAGCCACACUGGGACUGAGACACGGCCCAGACUCCUACGGGAGGGAGCAGUGGGGAAUAUUGGACAAUGGGCGAAAGUCUGAUACAGCAAUGCCGCGUGAGUGAUGAAGGCCUUAGGGUUGUAAAGCUCUUUUACCCGGGAUGAUAAUGACAGUACCGGGAGAAUAAGCUCCGGCUAACUCCGUG
rnacentral:rRNA from 1 species